rnacentral:rRNA from 1 species
UGGGGAAUAUUGCACAAUGGAGGGAACUCUGAUGCAGCGACGCCGCGUGAACGAAGAAGGCUUUCGAGUCGUAAAGUUCCUUUAUAUGGGAAGAUAAUGACGGUACCAUAAGAAAAAGCCCCGGCUAACUACGUGCCAGCAGCCGCGGUAAUACGUAGGGGGCUAGCGUUGUCCGGAAUCACUGGGCGUAAAGGGUUCGUAGGCGGAAAUGCAAGUCAGGUGUAAAAGGCAGUAGCAUAACUACUGUAAGCAUUUGAAACUGCAUGUCUUGAGAAGGGUAGAGGUAAGUGGAAUUUUUAGUGUGGCGGUGAAAUGCGUGGAUAUUAAAAAAAAUACCGGUGGCGAAGGCGACUUACUGGGCUCAAUCUAACGCAAAGGAACGAAAGCGUGGGUAGCAAACAGG